GACGAACGCUGGCGGCGUGCUUAACACAUGCAAGUCGAACGGACAGGCCCUGCUUUUGUGGGGUGCUUGUGUGGCGAACGGGUGAGUAUCACGUGAGUAACCUGCCCUUGACUUUGGGAUAACUUCAGGAAACUGGGGCUAAUACCGGAUAGGAUCUCCUGCUGCAUGUUGUGCGUUGGAAAGUUUCGGCGGUUGGGGAUGGACUCGCGGCUUAUCAGCUGGUUGGUGUGGUAGUUGCUUACCAAGGCUUUGAAGGGUAGCCGGCCUGAGAGGGUGACCGGCCACAUUGGGACUGAGAUAGGGAGCAGACUGCUACGGGAGGCAGAAGGGGGGAAUAUGGCACAAUGGGCGGAAGCCAGAUGCAGCGACGCCGCGUGCGGGAUGACGGCCUUCGGGGUGUAAACCGAUUUCGCAUGUGACGAAGAGUGAGUGACGGUAAUGGGUAAAGAAGCACCGGCUAACUACGUG
rnacentral:rRNA from 1 species